AAAAGAAAAAAAGCCCAGAUUUUUAUAGCUGGUAGAAGACAAUAGAGUUCAUUUUCUGCUCUAGAGAAAUGUCUGCAGUUGACCUCAGAAAUCGCAUCGAAGAGCUUCUUAAGUUUACUCUUCACUCUUUUCUCAAUGAAACCCUACAAUUCGACUUACACAUGUCUAAGGACUUCUGCUCACACCUCCUCAAACACGACCCAAGCCCAGAUUUUUUUAAUUUCUCUGCCCAAUCUGACGAUUCAUUGAAAGGGGUUCCUCCAUACCCAUUAUACAAGCGUCUAGCGUUUGCUUUGCAACACACGAUUAUGUCUGGAACCUUCUAUAGGACUUAUAAUGAAAUGCCAAUGCUUGGUGUAGAAUGUUCCUUGAGCCACAAAGAACAAGCAUGGGGGCUGCUGAUUUCACGAAAGGGAUCUGACUUAAUUGAUGUGCUGAAGACUGUUGACUUUGAACUUCAUGUACGGGAGCCUUUCUUUUCACAACUAGCAGAUGGAGUGAAAAGAGUUGAGGGCAGGUGUGCUGCUGGUAAAUGCAGUAGCAUUGGAUCAGGAAAUUUGAUUCUUUUCAAUGAAUGUCUUCUAUUUAAAGUUCAGGAUGUCCGCUGGUAUGCUUCAUUCUCUGACAUGUUGGAGGCAGAGAGCCUUGCUGAAGUGUUACCUGGAGUUAAGUCCAUUAAAGAAGGUGUGCAAAUCUACAGAAAGUUUUACUCAGAAGAGGAAGAAUAUUCUAGUGGUGUCCUUGCGAUUUGCAUUUCAAGAGUUGCUCUACAGCCUUAUUUUUAUUUAGCAAGUAUACUCUCGGAACUGAGUUAUAGUGGUAUUCGAGGAAUUUUAGGCCUUACAAAUACAAAAGGGACAACUGAACAUGCACUACCACCACCACGAUCUGCUCUUCUAUCAUCAUUUACGAUGCCUUACAAUAAAAAUGUUAAAGGUAGUACAUUGACCCAUGGAGCCCGUGCUUUGGCCAAACAUGCUCAUAGGAGUAACAAUAAAUUUUGGGGCAUUUUGGAUGGAAGUGAUUCUAAUAAAAACAAGCUUGCAUUGGAUGUCAUUGUUAACUUAGUAGAAGAAUGCUGCUGGUUAAAUCUGCAUGUUGUUCCACCCCAUGGAGAUGUCUUUGAAAUUAGAAUUUCUCAUGGCUAUGGUGCUAGGUGGUCUAAAGAUGGUAGUAAGGUGUAAUUGCUGGAACAAAAUAAUCGAACUGUGAUUACAUUUAAUUCCACUCAAGUUCUUUCUGUUCACUGCAAGGAAAGAGUUUACAUUCUAGUGUGGGAGGCCUGCAAAAAGCAGGAAUCUAAAUCUGGAUAGGAGUUAUCAUUAUUAUAUGUCUCUUAAGAAAACAGACUGAGAGAGAAAUAGAAGAACAUACUAUUAUGUUUGAUUCCCGCACUCAUAAAGCUCAACUUGUGCAGCUUGCUUAGUUCUCUACUAUUUAUGUUACUUUAUGUUUUCCAGUGAUUCACUUUGUUUUGAGGUUUGAUUGUGGUGCUGGUAAUAUCCAAUAUCUAAUAUUCAACACCCAAAUUCUACCUAAUUUUGAAUUUUUAUUGCAAAACUCAAUUAUGUAUGACUAAUGUUCCAUUGAUAAUUGUUUUAGUUUAUCGGAUUUCUAGAGCCAUAUGUAGAAGAUGGUCAUUCAACUGGAUGGAAGCACUGAAUUGUACCAAAAAAGCUGUCUCUAGUUUCCAUGACAGUUAGCUAGUCUCUCCGUGGUGACUAAUGGUUUGGCAUUGCAUCGAGAUAACAUGAGAAUGUCUACCCAGAAUUCUACGUUGACAAUGAAGAAGGCGGUCAAUGAUGGAUGUAGUAGAAUUGGAGGGAAUUAUUGCCUUUUAGCUGCCAAAUGUAGGGCCAUCACUCUUGUCCUGUUUAAUCUCAAAUAUCCAACGUUAUGAAAUUGUGCUUAGUGAUUAUCAAUAAGGUAUCCGCAAUGGAUGGAUCUGCUUGACCUUGUCACACACUCAUUAUUAUUUCUAAUGGCCUGAAUGUUACAAUCUUUUCUACAGCAA